CUGGCCACUCUGGGAGGCUCCAGCAUUUUCCUGUAGAGGAAGCAGGAG
ensembl:miRNA gga-mir-7466 gga-mir-7466